rnacentral:rRNA from 1 species
UUCCGGUUGAUCCUGCCGGAGGCCAUUGCUAUUGGGAUUCGAUUUAGCCAUGCUAGUCGCACGAGUUCAGACUCGUGGCGAAUAGCUCAGUAACACGUGGCCAAACUACCCUUCGGAACACAAUACCCUCGGGAAACUGAGGCUAAUAGUGUAUACCACAGUCCACCUGGAAUGAGGACUGUGCCAAACGCUCCGGCGCCGAAGGAUGUGGCUGCGGCCGAUUAGGUAGACGGUGGGGUAACGGCCCACCGUGCCAAUAAUCGGUACGGGUCAUGAGAGUGAGAACCCGGAGACGGAAUCUGAGACAAGAUUCCGGGCCCUACGGGGCGCAGCAGGCGCGAAACCUUUACACUGCACGACAGUGCGAUAAGGGAAUCCCAAGUGCGUAGGCAUAGAGCCUACGCUUUUGUCCACCGUAGGGAGGUGGACGAAUAAGGGCUGGGCAAGACCGGUGCCAGCCGCCGCGGUAAUACCGGCAGCCCGAGUGAUGGCCGAUCUUAUUGGGCCUAAAGCGUCCGUAGCUGGCCGCGCAAGUCUAUCGGAAAAUCCACCCGCUCAACGGGUGGGCGUCCGGUAGAAACUGCGUGGCUUGGGACCGGAAGGCGCGACGGGUACGUCCGGGGUAGGAGUGAAAUCCUGUAAUCCUGGACGGACCGCCGAUGGCGAAAGCACGUCGCGAAGACGGAUCCGACAGUGAGGGACGAAAGCUAGGGUCUCGAACCGGAUUAGAUACCCGGGUAGUCCUAGCCGUAAACAAUGCCUGUUAGGUGUGGCUCCCACUACGAGUGGGUGCUGUGCCGUAGGGAAGCCGCUAAACAGGCCGCCUGGGAAGUACGUCCGCAAGGAUGAAACUUAAAGGAAUUGGCGGGGGAGCACUACAACCGGAGGAGCCUGCGGUUUAAUUGGAUUCAACGCCGGGG